AACGAACGCUGGCGGCAUGCCUAACACAUGCAAGUCGAACGAAGCCUUCGGGCUUAGUGGCGCACGGGUGCGUAACGCGUGGGAAUCUGCCCUUAGGUACGGAAUAACUCAGGGAAACUUGUGCUAAUACCGUAUGAUGUCUUCGGACCAAAGAUUUAUCGCCUAGGGAUGAGCCCGCGUCGGAUUAGCUAGUUGGUGGGGUAAAGGCCUACCAAGGCGACGAUCCGUAGCUGGUCUGAGAGGAUGAUCAGCCACACUGGGACUGAGACACGGCCCAGACUCCUACGGGAGGCAGCAGUGGGGAAUAUUGGACAAUGGGCGAAAGCCUGAUCCAGCAAUGCCGCGUGAGUGAAGAAGGCCUUCGGGUUGUAAAGCUCUUUUACCCGGGAAGAUAAUGACUGUACCGGGAGAAUAAGCCCCGGCUAACUCCGUGCCAGCCGCCGCGGUAACAC
rnacentral:rRNA from 1 species